AAGUCGUAACAAGGUUUCCGUAGGUGAACCUGCGGAAGGAUCAUUAGUGAACGGCCGGGAGGCCUUAAACCCAACAAACCUCGGUGAACAGCGCCUUCGGGCAUGCCCUCGGGCGAUUUACAAACAAAGAAGUCCAGAACGUGAAACAUUAAAGAAACAUAA
rnacentral:misc_RNA from 1 species